rnacentral:lncRNA from 1 species
GGAUUCCUCCGAAACUUGCCGAGGUAUCCCCGGCGUAUGAGGGCCUCAAUUUCAUCCUUAAGUUGGAUGCAUUGCUCGGUAUUAUGGCCAUGGCCCCGAUGGAAUCGACAGUACUUCUGUCGGUCGAGGCCCUUUGCCUUCAGAGGCGGAGGCCGUCGCAGGUACUCUUCGCCCUCGAUCUUCAUCAAAAUCUGCGCACGAG